AUGGCGGCGCUUCGACGGCGGCCGGUGGAGUCUCCGACAGCGCGGUGGUGCGCGACACCGUGUUCCUUGUUGAGAACCAGAUACCUCUCUUCGUGCUUGAGAAGAUCCACGAGCACAUCACAGGAGGCGCCAGCAUGUCCGUCCUCGGAAACAUCGCCGUCUCUGUCCAGGAGCUUCUGCAGGCACAACUCUACAUCAGCAAGAAGCUACGGCCGGCGCCUCAGCAGGCGUCCCACUUGCUCCACCUCGAGCACGGCACGGCGCACCGGCCGGUGGCGCCGGGCGACGGAGUACGGCAGGUACGGCGGCAUGCGGUUCAAGCGCCGGGCCUUCGUGAGCGGGGAGGAGUGGACCGUCCUCGACGUGCGCCUUAAGCGAGGCACGCUGUGUGUCCCCCACCUGCGGGUCGACAGCAACACGUGGGCCGUCCUACGUAACCUGAUGGCGCUGGAGGAGCACGUCCCACGGAGGCCCGUCACGGCGUACUGCAUCUUCAUGUCGCAGGUGGCCGGUACGGUGGAGGACGUCAGGCUACUGGUUAACGCGGGGAUUGUGGAGCACUUCCUGCCGAGUGACGAGCAGGUCGCUCAAGGCUUCGCGGACCUCUGCAAUGGGGUGGUCAUGGACGUUGACAACCUUCACCGGAACUACCUCAAGCCCAUCUGGCACAAGCUGCAGGAACGCUGCCAGAGCCGCGUGUUUAGAUUCAUGGGAUGGUUCCGCCAUGACCGGCACCUCUGCGAGAGUGAGCUUUAUUGUUUCGUAGGUUGA
rnacentral:rRNA from 1 species